AGUCGAGGGGCAGCGAGUAGAUUGCUUGCAAUCUACGUCGGCGACCGGCGCACGGGUGCGUAACGCGUAUGCAACCUACCCAUUACAGGGGGAUAACACUGAGAAAUCGGUACUAAUACCCCAUAACAUCCAGGGAGGCAUCUUCUUGGGUUGAAAACUCCGGUGGUAAUGGAUGGGCAUGCGUUGUAUUAGUUAGUUGGUGGGGUAACGGCUCACCAAGACGACGAUACAUAGGGGGACUGAGAGGUUAACCCCCCACAUUGGUACUGAGACACGGACCAAACUCCUACGGGAGGCAGCAGUGAGGAAUAUUGGUCAAUGGACGCAAGUCUGAACCAGCCAUGCCGCGUGCAGGAAGACGGCUCUAUGAGUUGUAAACUGCUUUUGUACGAGGGUAAACGCAGAUACGUGUAUCUGUCUGAAAGUAUCGUACGAAUAAGGAUCGGCUAACUCCGUGCCAGCAGCCGCGGUAAUACGGAGGAUUCAAGCGUUAUCCGGAUUUAUUGGGUUUAAAGGGUGCGUAGGCGGUCGGAUAAGUUAGAGGUGAAAUCCCGGGGCUCAACUUCGGAAUUGCCUCUGAUACUGUUCGGCUAGAGAGUAGUUGCGGUAGGCGGAAUGUAUGGUGUAGCGGUGAAAUGCUUAGAGAUCAUACAGAACACCGAUUGCGAAGGCAGCUUACCAAGCUACUUCUGACGUUGAGGCACGAAAGCGUGGGGAGCAAACAGGAUUAGAUACCCUGGUAGUCCACGCAGUAAACGAUGAUAACUCGUUGUCGGCGAUACAAUGUCGGUGACUAAGCGAAAGCGAUAAGUUAUCCACCUGGGGAGUACGUUCGCA
rnacentral:rRNA from 1 species